rnacentral:rRNA from 1 species
UACAGAGGUCCCAAGCGUUGUUCGGAUUCACUGGGCGUAAAGGGUGCGUAGGUGGUGAGGUAAGUCGGAUGUGAAAUCUCCGAGCUCAACUCGGAAAUGGCAUUGGAAACUACAUGGCUAGAGUACUGGAGAGGGUAACGGAAUUCACGGUGUAGCAGUGAAAUGCGUAGAUAUCAGGAGGAACACCAAUGGCGAAGGCAGCUCGCUGGGACGGUACUGACGCUGAGACGCGAAAGCGUGGGGAGCAAACAGG